UACUCUCACACUUCCGAUUGUUUGGAUCGGGAGCGGUGGACUUGGGUGUUGCUGCUUUACUGUGGCUCACCUUAAAUGCAGUAGUGCAACUCUCGGUUGGACAUAGUACGGCGUGAUAAGUGUCUUCGCCGGCACCUCACAGAGGGUGGCUGAUCGGGAGCUCUGUGCUUCAAACCGUCUUCGGACAACAACUGACA
rnacentral:misc_RNA from 1 species